rfam:Lactobacillus parafarraginis F0439 genomic scaffold Scfld1998, whole genome shotgun sequence.
UAUUCGAGUAGAGGCGCAUUUAUCAAGAGUCGAUUUCACGAGUUUGAAAAGAAACGGUGACUGAAAUCAAAAGGGAUGAAUGCCGAAAUGAGCGGCCACUUUUAUGGCUGUGAGUUGGGGCUUAACCUAAUAAGUUAAGAACUGUCGCGACAAUUGCCGCGGAGCGCUAUAAGAUGU